rnacentral:lncRNA from 1 species
UAGAUAACAGAAGAUUCGAGGAGGCACCACACAAGAGGCCACAAGUCUCUCGUGGUUGUUCCAUGGCGGCCGCAGCUCGGGCUUUCACUCUCUCUCGCCUCACCGACCUGUCACUCAAGCCCCGCCUCCGCCUCCCGUUUCCCGCCACCACCUCCUCGCCCGCCCAUUACUCCCCUCAUUCCGCGCCCAACGGCGUCGUUUGGCCUGCUCGGCUUCCACAAUCCGAUGCCUCAUCUCCGGCGUCGACGGCGGCGGCGGCGUGUCCGACGAGUUCGUCUCGACGCGGAAGUCCGGCUUCGACCGCGGAUUCUCCUUUAUCGCC